GAUGAAGAACGUAGCGAGAUGCGAUAAGUAAUGUGAAUUGCAGAAUUCAGUGAAUCAUCGAAUCUUUGAACGCACAUUGCGCCCGCCAGUAUUCUGGCGGGCAUGCCUGUUCGAGCGUCAUUUCAACCAUCAAGCCCCAGGCUUGUGUUGGAGCCCUGCGGCUGCCGCAGCCUCCCAAAACCAGUGGCGGGCUCGCUAUCACACCGAGUGCAGUAGUUUACUCUUCGCUCAGGGCGUGUGGCGGGUGCUAGCCGUAAAACCCCCAACUUCUCAAGGUUGACCUCGGAUCAGGUAGGAAUACCCGCUGAACUUAAGCAUAUCAAUAAGCGGAGGA
rnacentral:misc_RNA from 1 species